CGCUGGGGGAAACCGAAGGAGAGGGCAUCGAGAGCAUAUUUAAGGCGAGCUAGGAGAAUGAGAAAAUCAGUCAUGGUUCGUGUAUUGAACUUACUAUGGCUCAACAGCUGAUGCCUCGCGUAUUGAACGAGCUUCAGCUGGCCUGGCAAAGAUGCGCCGUUUGUGAGGCGGAACUAUGCCUAGGUAGACGCCACCGUAGUGACGUGGAGUCUUGCCACAAUCGUUAUCGCAGUAGGCGGUAGUAGCGAGGAACGAGUGACUGCAUUGAAGUGAAAUGCCGUCUCCAGGCUACGUUGUUUUAACGUAGCGAGAUUAUUAUUGUAUAUAUUGUUUAUCGUAUUAUUUCGAUGUUGCUAUUAUGAUCGGAUAACUAUAAUAAAGUUUAAUAUUGUUUUUCCUUUGCAGAAGAUGGAAUUAUAUUUUAUUUUAUUUGUUUUAAACUGUAUAUAAUUACCUUUAAUAUAUUUGCUUUAUUUUUAAA